rnacentral:rRNA from 1 species
GAUGAACGCUGGCGGCGUGCCUAAUACAUGCAAGUCGAACGAGGCCCUUUGUAUUCGUAUGAAGGUGUCCUAGUGGCGAACGGGUGAGUAACACGUAGGUGACCUACCCCGAAGAGGGGGAUAACCCCGGGAAACUGGGGCUAAUACCCCAUAAUCUCCAGAGUGUUAGAGUACUCUGGAAGAAAGGGAGCAAUCCGCUUUGGGAGGGGCCUGCGGCCCAUCAGCUAGUUGGUAGGGUAACGGCCUACCAAGGCGACGACGGGUAGGGGACCUGAGAGGGUGGUCCCCCACACUGGCACUGAAACACGGGCCAGACACCUACGGGUGGCAGCAGUAGGGAAUCUUGCACAAUGGGCGAAAGCCUGAUGCAGCAACGCCGCGUGCGCGAUGAAGGCCUUCGGGUUGUAAAGCGCUUUUCUGGAGGAAGAGAAAGGACGGUACUCCAGGAAUAAGUCUCGGCUAACUACGUG